UACAGAGGUCCCAAGCGUUGUUCGGAUUCACUGGGCGUAAAGGGUGCGUAGGUGGUUGGGUAAGUCUGAUGUGAAAUCUCUGAGCUCAACUCAGAAACUGCAUUGGAUACUAUCCAGCUAGAGGAGUGGAGGGGGGACUGGAAUACUUGGUGUAGCAGUGAAAUGCGUAGAUAUCAAGUGGAACACCAGUGGCGAAGGCGAGUCCCUGGACACUUCCUGACACUGAGGCACGAAAGCUAGGGGAGCAAAC
rnacentral:rRNA from 1 species